UACGGAGGGGCUAGCGUUGUUCGGAAUUAGCUGGGCGUAAAGCGCACGUAGGCGGCUUUGUAAGUUAGAGGUGAAACCCAGGGCUUAACCCUGGAAUUGCCUUUAAGACUGCAUGCUAGAAUUGUGGAGAGGUAAGUGGGAAUUCCGAGUGUAGAGGUGAAAUUCGUAGAUAUUCGGAAGAACACCAGUGGCGAAGGCGGACUUAACUGGACAGCAGUAAUUG
rnacentral:rRNA from 1 species